rnacentral:rRNA from 1 species
AGAGUUUGAUCCUGGCUCAGAACGAACGCUGGCGGCGUGGAUAAGACAUGCAAGUCGAACGAGAGAAUUGCUAGCUUGCUAAUAAUUCUCUAGUGGCGCACGGGUGAGUAACACGUGAGUAACCUGCCCCCGAGAGCGGGAUAGCCCUGGGAAACUGGGAUUAAUACCGCAUAGUAUCGAAAGAUUAAAGCAGCAAUGCGCUUGGGGAUGGGCUCGCGGCCUAUUAGUUAGUUGGUGAGGUAACGGCUCACCAAGGCGAUGACGGGUAGCCGGUCUGAGAGGAUGUCCGGCCACACUGGAACUGAGACACGGUCCAGACACCUACGGGUGGCAGCAGUCGAGAAUCAUUCACAAUGGGGGAAACCCUGAUGGUGCGACGCCGCGUGGGGGAAUGAAGGUCUUCGGAUUGUAAACCCCUGUCAUGUGGGAGCAAAUUAAAAAGAUAGUACCACAAGAGGAAGAGACGGCUAACUCUGUGCCAGCAGCCGCGGUAAUACAGAGGUCUCAAGCGUUGUUCGGAAUCACUGGGCGUAAAGCGUGCGUAGGCUGUUUCGUAAGUCGUGUGUGAAAGGCGCGGGCUCAACCCGCGGACGGCACAUGAUACUGCGAGACUAGAGUAAUGGAGGGGGAACCGGAAUUCUCGGUGUAGCAGUGAAAUGCGUAGAUAUCGAGAGGAACACUCGUGGCGAAGGCGGGUUCCUGGACAUUAACUGACGCUGAGGCACGAAGGCCAGGGGAGCGAAAGAAAUUAGAUACCCCUGUAGUCCUGGCAGUAAACGGCGCUUAAGGGGUGUGCGGGGAAUCGACCCCCUGCGUGCCGGAGCUAACGCGUUAAGCGUGCCGCCUGGGGAGUACGGUCGCAAGAUUAAAACUCAAAGAAAUUGACGGGACCCCGCACAAGCGGUGGAGUAUGUGGCUUAAUUCGAUGCAACGCGAAGAACCUUACCUGGGCUUGACAUGUAAUGAACAACAUGUGAAAGCAUGCGACUCUUCGGAGGCGUUACACAGGUGCUGCAUGGCCGUCGUCAGCUCGUGUCGUGAGAUGUUUGGUUAAGUCCAGCAACGAGCGCAACCCCUGUUGCCAGUUACCAGCACGUGAAGGUGGGGACUCUGGCGAGACUGCCCAGAUCAACUGGGAGGAAGGUGGGGACGACGUCAGGUCAGUAUGGCCCUUAUGCCCAGGGCUGCACACGUACUACAAUGCCCAGUACAGAGGGGGCCGAAGCCGCGAGGCGGAGGAAAUCCUAAAAACUGGGCCCAGUUCGGACUGUAGGCUGCAACCCGCCUACACGAAGCCGGAAUCGCUAGUAAUGGCGCAUCAGCUACGGCGCCGUGAAUACGUUCCCGGGUCUUGUACACACC